rnacentral:sRNA from 1 species
GCUGAUAAGAUGGCAGCCUUGCAACAGAGGCAGGUAGUGGGGUUGGGGGAGAACAUCUGAUGCAGAGUAAAAAUAAGAUCUCUGAUUCCAAAGGUCAUGAAUUGUUAGAUCAUGGGAUGACUGUGUAUCAUUGGAAGAUGUAAGCUCAAGAAUAUUCAUGAAUAUAUGUUCUAUUAAACAUUGGAGAAUAUAUAAAAAACUGGAGGCCAAGAUACUUCCUUUUGAAGACAGAUGGCUCAUUCAUAGGAUAUAAAGAGAAACCUCAAGAUGUGGAUUUACCUUAUCCCCUCAACAACUUUUCAGUGGCAAAAUGCCAGUUAAUGAAAACAGAACGACCAAAGCCAAACACAUUUAUAAUCAGAUGUCUCCAAUGGACCACUGUUAUAGAGAGAACAUUUCAUGUAGAUACUCCAGAGGAAAG